rnacentral:rRNA from 1 species
GACGAACGCUGGCGGCGUGCUUAAUACAUGCAAGUCAACUUGACUUUAGAUAGCAAUAUCGAAAAGUAGGGUGGCGCACGGGUGCGUAACGCGUAGGUAAUCUGCCCUGAGGUCUGACAUAACCCGUCGAAAGGCGGGCUAACAUCAGAUGAUAUAUAAUCACGACAUCGUGGAAAUAUCAAAUCUUCGGAGCCUUGGGAUGAGCCUGCGUCUGAUUAGGUAGUUGGCGGAGUAAUAGCCCACCAAGCCUACGAUCAGUAGCUGGUCUGAGAGGAUGAUCAGCCACACUGGAACUGAGACACGGUCCAGACUCCUACGGGAGGCAGCAGUAAGGAAUAUUGCUCAAUGGGGGAAACCCUGAAGCAGCAACGCCGCGUGAAGGAUGAAAUACUUUGUAUGUAAACUUCUGUAAGAUGGGAAAAAUAUUCUCCUCGGGAGAAUUGAUUGUACCAUCAGAGUAAGCCCCGGCUAACUACGUGCCAGCA